rnacentral:tRNA from 1 species
GGGGGUAUAGUUCAACUGGUAAAAUAUAUGUUUUGCGUACAUAAGAUACAGGUUCAAGUCCUGUUAUCUCCA